GAUGAAGAACGUAGCGAAAUGCGAUAAGUAAUGUGAAUUGCAGAAUUCAGUGAAUCAUCGAAUCUUUGAACGCACCUUGCGCCCUUUGGCUAUUCCGAAGGGCAUGCCUGUUUGAGUAUCAUGAACACCUCAACUCUCGUGGUUUGCUACGAUGAGCUUGGACUUUGGGGGUUUUGCUGGCCUGUGGUCGGCUCCUCUCAAAUGAAUCAGCUUCCCAGCGUUUGGUGGAGUCGCAGGUGUGAUAACUAUCUACGCUUGUGGUUUUUCGCCAGAUAACCUUUGGUGACGGAGGUUCGUUGGGGCUCAUAAAUGUCUCUCCUCAGUGAAGACAGCUUUUGAACGUUUGAUCUCAAAUCAGGUAGGACUACCCGCUGAACUUAAGCAUAUCAAUACGGAGGA
rnacentral:misc_RNA from 1 species